rnacentral:rRNA from 1 species
GACGAACGCUGGCGGCGUGCUUAACACAUGCAAGUCGAACGGAAAGGCCCUGCUUUUGUGGGGUGCUCGAGUGGCGAACGGGUGAGUAACACGUGAGUAACCUGCCCUUGACUUUGGGAUAACUUCAGGAAACUGGGGCUAAUACCGGAUAGGAGCUCCUGCUGCAUGGUGGGGGUUGGAAAGUUUCGGCGGUUGGGGAUGGACUCGCGGCUUAUCAGCUUGUUGGUGGGGUAGUGGCUUACCAAGGCUUUGACGGGUAGCCGGCCUGAGAGGGUGACCGGCCACAUUGGGACGGAGAUACGGCCGAGACUCCGACGGGAGGCAGCAGUGGGGAAUAUUGCACAAUGGGCGGAGGCCGGAUGCAGCAACGCCGCGUGCGGGAUACGGCCUUCGGGUUGUAAACCGCUUUCGCCUGUGACGAAGCGUGAGUGACGGUAAUGGGUAAAGAAGCACCGGCUAACUACGUG